GUGCUCGCUUUAGCAGCACAUGUGCUAAAAUUGGAACGAUACAAAGAAGAUUAGCAUGGCGCCUGUGCAAGGAUGACAUGCGAAUUUGUGAAGUGUUCUGUAUUUUU
rnacentral:snRNA from 1 species